CGGCAGCCUAGCGGCCCGAACGAUGCGUUGACUUUCAGGCAUGUGCAAAAGUCCAGGAACACUCAAGGAUCAACUAGGCAAAGUUCCUGCCUUGGAUGUCACAUUCUGAUCAGAGGGAGGGACACAGACAGGCCAUCAUAAUAUGAGAUGAAAUGAAUUGAACCUCAGGGAGCUUUUGCCAGCUAAUAUUUUUGAGGACCCAUAUAAAUGAGGCAAGUUAAUUUAUUUGCUCUAAUCUGAAGCUAGUAAGUGGUAGCAUUAGAAUUUGGGCCCAGAGUUGCCUGAUCCUGUGCUUGGUCUGUAUUCACAUGGUGGAGGAGUGAGGAGGGGUCUCGCACAACUUGCUGCUUGAAGGAGUGACCACCCUGAUGGCUGCCUGACCAGCAAGUGAAAAAUUCACAAAAACGGGGAGCCACCUUCCUCUAAUCUGUACUGUCUGAUAUGUCAGCCACUAGCCACUAGUGGCUAUUUAAACUUAAAUUAAUUAAAAUGAAAUAAAGUUAGGGACUUCUCUGGUGGCACAGUGGUUAAGAAGCCACCUGCCAAUGCAGGGGACAUGGGUUCGAUCCCUGGUCCGGGAAGAUCCCCCAUGCCACGGAGCAACUAAGCCCGUGUGCCACAACUACUGAGCCCGCGCUCUAGAGCUGGCGAGCCACAACUACUGAGCCCACGCACCAUAACUACUGAAGCCCGUACGCUCUAGGGCCCACGUGCCGCAACUACUGAGCCGGCAUGCUGCAACUACUGAAGCCCGCGUGCCUAGAGCCCGUGUUCCGCAACAAGGGAAGCCACUGCAAUGAGAAGCCCAUGCACUGCAACAAAGAGUAGCCCCCGCUCGCCACGAGAGAAAGCCCGCGCACAGCAACAAAGACCCAGACGCAGCCAAAAAAAAAGACAUAAAGUUACAAAUUCAGUUCCUCAGUCCCAUUAGCCACAUUUCAUGUGCUUCACAGCCACAUAUGGCUAGCGCUUACAGUACUGCACAGUGCAGGUUUUCCAUCCACACAGAAAGUUCCAGAGAGCGCUGUAUCCCAUCAUUCCCCUAUCCCUAUUUACCACAGUCACCACCACAGGUUCUAGCUCCCUCUCAUCCAUUAUCACCUCUAUCCUUGUCCUCGCACUGGCUCCCAGCUUCUUGCCCCCAGCCAUAUCUUUCCCCCCACCGUGCCUUCGGCAACCUGUGAUCAGCAAUUCUUCCACAUCAGCUUUUCUCAGGAUGCUGCCUUCACCUCCUUGCCUUACCUGAAACCUGGCUCUCCCCUGAAGACACUGCUUCUUUAGCAGCCCUCUUAGAUGAAUGCUAUUUUCUUCUCAGUCUUGUGUACCUCAGGGUCAGGAAGUAAGUCUAUUCCUCUUCCACCCCCAAUGCUAUUUCUAAACCCCUCCCUCCUACAGUGCUUCCCCUCCCUCCUACAAAACCCCUGUUCCUUGGAAGCUUCACCAUCUGGACAUACCAUUUUGGUUGAUGUCAUCAAUCAACCUCCCGGUCGAUGCCCCUCACUUAGCUCUUAGCUCGCUGCCUCUCUCCCCCCCAAUUUUGUUAUAUUUGGUGAGCUCAACGUCCAUGUGAUGGCCCCUCCAACAUCCUGACCUCCUCGUCUCCAGCACUAUUUCCCACACUCCACAGCAGUUGCCCACUCCUGCAGUCACACCCUCAACUUUUUCACCAAACAUCAUACCACUUGCAAAAUACAGACCCUCUGGCCACAUUUUCCUUAAGCCUUCCUCAACAAUUCAUGAGCUCUGAUCCCUUGA